ACUACUCAUUGAGGAGCUCUGGAACAACCUUCUUUCUUUAAUUGAUUCUCAAUUACUUUUAACGGACCUCUCGAACAAAAUACACUAUUUCGCCGGCGACGUGUUCGACACAGACUCUGCGGCGGUCCGCUCACCAUUCGGGCUCGGCUCCUAACGUGUUCAAGGGAGUUUUCCGUUGACGUUGGAGGAUGGGCUUGAAGGGAUCUACCGGAUCCGUGAAGGAGACGAGCUCUGUAGAGGCGUGUAACCACGCCAAUCGGGUGGAGGAAAGGGAAACCAAGGCGGCGGCCACGACAUACGCCAAGUGAGAACAAGACGGUAAAAAAUUUCAAAACUUAUUUCUUUAUUGAAGUAAAGAUAUGAACAUGAACAUAAUUUAACAGAUCAAAAUACCCCAAAUUUAUUUCAGCAUACAAAGUACAUUAGAGAUAGUCCACA